rnacentral:lncRNA from 7 species
GUCACUUCUUGUCCCUUGGAAACUGAAAGCUGCUCUUGGCCACUUCCCUUCUCUGCAGCUGUCUCACUGUCACAAGCUGCUCCUGCCUCAUGGCACCAAUGGUGGUGGCCCUCAUCCUGGGUUGGUGGCUGGUGGCAGUGAGCCGGGCACAGCAACUGCAACAACCCUCCCUGUCGCUGCACCCCAGCCAGGGGCUGUCCCUGGGGGACACUGUCACCCUGCGCUGCCACCUGCCCCAGCCAGCUGCCUGGGUCCGACUCUAUCGGUACCAAAAUCCAGCAUACAUCGAGCAGAAGGACAACGUGCAGGACGUGGCUGAGUUCUCCCUGGCUGGCAUAAAGCAGGCAGAUGCAGUGAGAUAUCAGUGCCAGUACCAGGGGUUAGAGCCUGCAGGGACAUCGCAGAAGAGUGAUCCUGUGGAGCUGGUGGUGACAGCACAGCUAUCCCCCACCUGGAAUUUUCCUGAGCCCCAGAGAAUAUGUGAAGAUGGAGACCAACAUCACCAUCCAGUGCUGGAACCAGGAAUACAGGGGCACCAUAUUCCUGCACAAGGACGGGCACUCAGCCCCUGUCCAGCACCAGGAACCUGAUGGUGGGGGCACUGCCACCUUCACCCUCUUUGGGGUGACCCCAGCUGACUCUGGCACCUAUAGGUGCUCCUACCGUGUAGGGGGCUCCUACCUUCUGUCCUCACCCCUUGGGGAUAAUGUGACCCUGGAAGUGAUUCCCAGACCUGCACCCCGAGGUGACAAUGGGGAUCCCAGCAGGAACCUGGUGGCAGCAGUGUCAGGGGGCUGUGUGGCUGCCAUUGUCAUCAUCGUUCUCACUGUCUCUUUCGUCCUUGUUGCUCAGAGAAGACGAAUGCAGAGAGAUGAGAGUCCUGGUGCCACCCCCAGAAGCCCCGAGGCCGUGCAGUUCCAGGUGUCCCCCGGUGACAGCGAGGGUCUGACCUACGCCCAGCUGCAAGCUGUGACCCCCAGCACCCACCCCCCCGGCACUUCUACCACUCCUGAACCCCCCAUUAUCUACGCCGAGGUGGGCACGCGGGGACCCCGCUGAUGCCCCCAGAUGUGUAUGCAAACACGGGUGUGUUGUGUGCACACAUGGACUUCAAGGGUGCACAGUGCCAUUGUGCUCGGUGUGCUCACCACCACGUGUGAAUUACAGCC